CUCCUUUAAACAACCAGCUCCCAUUGGAACUAGCAGAGUGAGAACUCACUCAUUACCAUGGCAACUGCACCAAGCCAUUCAUGAGGGAUCCACCCCCAUGACCCAGACACCUCCCACCAGGCCCAACCACCAACACUGGGGAUCACAUUUCAACAUGAGUUUGGAGGGGACACACAUUCAAAUCACAGCACAUGCUUUUCCACCCAGCAGCCAUUCUGCCCAUCUUUCCCUGGCUGACAGAACUCUGCCUUCGAGUAGGUGUUGGGGGUCAUGCCCUUCAUGAAAGGAGGAGUUUCUCUCUCAUCUCGUCAAAAAACAAAUUAUUCUGCCAAGCAAGGAGCAUGUUUUAGCUUAGUCACCACAGAAGAAACAGAUCACUUUUAAUUAUGACAUUUCAUCAACACUUGGCAAGUAAGAAAGAUGGGUUGAAAGACUGCAUCAGAAAUAUUCUAGAGUUAUUUUCCUGCUAACAUGGAAACAAAAAGAUUCAAUGUGAGAAGAAAAAAUAGAUUCCUAA
rnacentral:lncRNA from 1 species